CUACGGGUCGCUGCAGUGGGGAAUUUUGGACAAUGGGCGCAAGCCUGAUCCAGCAAUGCCGCGUGAGUGAAGAAGGCCUUCGGGUUGUAAAGCUCUUUUGUCAGGGAAGAAACGGUGGAGGCUAAUAUCCUUUGCUAAUGACGGUACCUGAAGAAUAAGCACCGGCUAACUACGUGCCAGCAGCCGCGGUAAUACGUAGGGUGCAAGCGUUAAUCGGAAUUACUGGGCGUAAAGCGUGCGCAGGCGGUUUUGUAAGUCUGACGUGAAAGCCCCGGGCUCAACCUGGGAAUUGCGUUGGAGACUGCAAGGCUUGAAUCUGGCAGAGGGGGGUAGAAUUCCACGUGUAGCAGUGAAAUGCGUAGAGAUGUGGAGGAACACCGAUGGCGAAGGCAGCCCCCUGGGUCAAGAUUGACGCUCAUGCACGAAAGCGUGGGGAGCAAACAGGAUUAGAUACCCUUGUAGUC
rnacentral:rRNA from 1 species